CUAAGUUUGAUGGCGACCGGCGCACGGGUGAGUAACACGUAUCCAACCUGCCCUUUACUCGGGGAUAGCCUUUCGAAAGAAAGAUUAAUACCCGAUAGCAUAAUGAUUCCGCAUGGUUUCAUUAUUAAAGGAUUCCGGUAAAGGAUGGGGAUGCGUUCCAUUAGGUUGUUGGUGAGGUAACGGCUCACCAAGCCUUCGAUGGAUAGGGGUUCUGAGAGGAAGGUCCCCCACAUUGGAACUGAGACACGGUCCAAACUCCUACGGGAGGCAGCAUG
rnacentral:rRNA from 1 species